rnacentral:rRNA from 1 species
UUGCGGUAAAAAAGCUCGUAGUUGGAUCUCUGUUGAGGACAACCGGUCCGUACCAUGUACGCGCAUCUGGCUUGGCCUCGGCAUCCUCUCGAUAGACGUUGCUGCGCUUAAUUGCGUGGCGCGGAUCUCGGGACUUUUACUUUGAGGAAAUUAGAGUGUUCACGGCAGGCUAUCGCCAGAAUACAUUAGCAUAGAAUAAUACUAUAGGAUCUUGGUUCUAUUUUGUUGGUUUCUAGAAUUGAGAUAAUGAUUAAUAGGGACAAUUGGGGGCAUUCGUAUCAACACGUCAGAGGUGGAAUUCUUGGAUUGUGUUGCGACGAACUACUGCGAAAGCAUAUGCCAAGGAUGUUUUCAUUGAUCAAGAACGAAAGUAAGGGUAUCGAAGACGAUUAGAUACCGUCGUAGUCUUUACCAUAAACUAUGCCAACUAGAGAUGGGACAUCGUUCAUUUACGACUUGUUCCGCACCUUAUGAGAUAUCAAAGUCUUUGGGUUCCGGGGGGAGUAUGGUCGCAAAGCUGAAACUUAAAGGAAUUGACGGAAAGGCACCACCAGGAGUGGAGC